rnacentral:rRNA from 1 species
AGUGAACGCUGGCGGUAGGCCUAACACAUGCAAGUCGAACGGCAGCACAGUAAGAGCUUGCUCUUACGGGUGGCGAGUGGCGGACGGGUGUGGAAUACAUCGGCAUCUACUUUUUCGUGGGGGAUCAAGUAGGGAGACUUACGCUAAUACCGCAUACGAUCUACGGGUGAAAGCAGGGGAUCUUCGCACCUUGCGCGAUUGAAUGCGCCGAUGUCGGAUUAGCUAGUUGGCGGGGUAAAGGCCCACCAAGGCGACGAUCCGUAGCUGGUCUGAGAGGAUGAUCAGCCACACUGGAACUGAGACACGGUCCAGACUCCUACGGGAGGCAGCAGUGGGGAAUAUUGGACAAUGGGCGCAAGCCUGAUCCAGCCAUACCGCGUGUGUGAAGAAGGCCUUCGGGUUGUAAAGCCCCUUUGUUGGGAAAGAAAAGCAGCAGGUUAAUACCCCGCUGUUCUGACGGUACCCGAAGAAUAAGCACCGGCUAACUUCGUG